rnacentral:rRNA from 1 species
UGAAAUGCGUAGAGAUCUGGAGGAAUACCGGUGGCGAAGGCGGCCCCCUGGACGAAGACUGACGCUCAGGUGCGAAAGCGUGGGGAGCAAACAGGAUUAGAUACCCUGGUAGUCCACGCCGUAAACGAUGUCGACUUGGAGGUUGUGCCCUUGAGGCGUGGCUUCCGGAGCUAACGCGUUAAGUCGACCGCCUGGGGAGUACGGCCGCAAGGUUAAAACUCAAAUGAAUUGACGGGGGCCCGCACAAGCGGUGGAGCAUGUGGUUUAAUUCGAUGCAACGCGAAGAACCUUACCUGGUCUUGACAUCCACGGAAGUUUUCAGAGAUGAGAAUGUGCCUUCGGGAACCGUGAGACAGGUGCUGCAUGGCUGUCGUCAGCUCGUGUUGUGAAAUGUUGGGUUAAGUCCCGCAACGAGCGCAACCCUUAUCCUUUGUUGCCAGCGGUCCGGCCGGGAACUCAAAGGAGACUGCCAGUGAUAAACUGGAGGAAGGUGGGGAUGACGUCAAGUCAUCAUGGCCCUUACGACCAGGGCUACACACGUGCUACAAUGGCGCAUACAAAGAGAAGCGACCUCGCGAGAGCAAGCGGACCUCAUAAAGUGCGUCGUAGUCCGGAUUGGAGUCUGCAACUCGACUCCAUGAAGUCGGAAUCGCUAGUAAUCGUGGAUCAGAAUGCCACGGUGAAUACGUUCCCGGGCCUUGUACACACCGCCCGUCACACCAUGGGAGUGGGUUGCAAAAGAAGUAGGUAGCUUAACCUUCGGGAGGGCGCUUACCACUUUGUGAUUCAUGACUGGGGUGAAGUCGUAACAAGGUAACCGUAGGGGAACCUGCGGUUGGAUCACCUCCUUACCUUAAAGAAGC